rnacentral:rRNA from 1 species
UACGUAGGGGGCAAGCGUUAUCCGGAAUGAUUGGGCGUAAAGAGUACGUAGGUGGUUUUGUAAGCGCGGGGUGAAAGGCAGUGGCUUAACCAUUGUAAGCCUUGCGAACUGCGAGACUUGAGUGCAGGAGAGGAAAGCGGAAUUCCUAGUGUAGCGGUGAAAUGCUUAGAUAUUAGGAGGAACACCAGUGGCGAAGGCGGCUUUCUGGACUGUAACUGACACUGAGGUACGAAAGCGUGGGGAGCAAACAGG